UCCUUUCUCUCUCUCUCGGAUCACUUAUGCUAAAAUACACAAGCUGCCAUGUCACAAACAGCCCUGUGAAGAGGCCUACAUGAUACAGCAAAGAACUGAGGCCCUCAGUCCAGCAGCCAGUGAGGAAUUAACACCCUCAAUCCAACAACCUGUGAGGGAAUCAAGCCUGCUAAUGAUCAGAUAAGUGAACAUGCAAGUCCGUCCUUCAGUGCCAAUUGAGUCUUUUCUUUUUCUUGGGAUAGAAUCUUAUUCUGUCACAAAGCGGUAUGAUCUAGGCUCACUGCAACCUCUGCCUCCUGGGUUCAAGUGAUUCUCCUGCCUCAGCCUCCCGAAUAGCUGGGAUUAUGGGCACGUGCCACCACACCCAGCUAAUUUUUGUAUUUUUAGUAGAGACAGGGUUUUUCCAUGUUGAUCAGGCUGGUCUCGAACUCCUGACCUCAGGUGAUCCACCCACCUCAGCCUCCCACAGUGCUGGGAUUACAGGUGUGCACCACUACGCUUGAACUGAUUUUUGUAUUUUUAGUAGAGAUGAGGCUUCAUCAUGUUGGCCAGGCUGGUCUUGAACUCCCGGCCUCAAGUGAUCCACCCACCUCAGCCUCCCAAAGUACUAGGAUUACAGGUGUGAGCCACUGCACCCAGCCCCUACUUGAGUCUUAAGAUGAGACUGAAGGCCUGUCUGACAGUUUUACUGCAAUCUCAAAAGAGACCUUGAGCCAGCAAGAUCCAGCAAAGCCACUCUGGAUCCCUGAGCCACUGAAACUGUGAGGAAUGAACGUUCCCAAAUUGGAGCUGUCCAGCAAUAAGGUGGAUUGCCUUUGAAGAAGCUGAGUUCCUUGCCAUAGGAAGUAUUCAAGCAGAAAGGUACAAAGACUCAACGACAGAGUGCCAGAGAGGAUGUCUUAUGGAGAUGGUUGACAUAAACCUCUCUAACUGCAUGGGCUAGAAGGGAUCCAGGAAGCCCCCUAGAAACUUUCUCAGAGGUUUCCUCUCUCAGCUUGGAGCCCCCUCCCUCUGUCUCUACAGCUUACGACAGGUUUAUUGGGACAAUGCCAUCAUAAAUCAAGAAGCAUCUGUAAGUCCACUGAAAUAAAACGCAAACCAGCAACUCAGAGAGGUUCAUUGACUUGCCGAAGGCCACAAAGCUGUUAAGUGUUCAAACAGAUGGCGUCAAACCAGAUCUUUAGCCUCAGGGACCAGAGCUCUGCAGCCUGGAGGGGACCUUCUGCAGCAUCAUUGCACAGAAGACAUCAAUCAAUCAGUCUUUCAGUGGCCUUACAUUUUUCUCCACUUGCAGGUUAUGGGUCACCAUUUUACAAAUUCCUCCAGGACAGAAAGAAACUGUUUCUCCUGCCUGUUCUUUCCCAGCCCAGGCUGUCACCGGGGAUCCAAAUGUCAGGCUUUAUGCAAGUUCUCGAUGUUGGAACCUCUCAUGAAAAGUGGAGUGAACAAGAGGGAAAGUGGGCAAACCUCAGGCCUCACAGCUUUAAUGCCACCGAUGCAUUUGGUGAGGGACCUGAUCUCUCUGCUUCCAAGACAGAGUCUUGUUGCUGUCUUCCGGAGGGGAGGAACCCCGUGUCCUCACGUGGCAGAAGAGCAUAAGAGAGCAAACCCACUCCUUCAAACUCGCCUUUUAGAGAUGGGGUCUCACUCUGUCACCCAGGCUAGAGCGAGCAUAGUGGUAUGAUCCUAGCUCAUUGCAGCC
rnacentral:lncRNA from 1 species